GACAGAGGGUGCAAACGUUGUUCGGAAUUACUGGGCGUAAAGCGUGUGUAGGCGGCUACAUAAGUCGGAUGUGAAAGCCCCGGGCUCAACCCGGGAAGUGCACUCGAUACUGCGUAGCUUGAGUCUCGGAGAGGUUGGUGGAAUUCUCGGUGUAGAGGUGAAAUUCGUAGAUAUCGAGAGGAACACCGGUGGCGAAGGCGCCUGCCUGGACGACUAUUGACGCUGAGGCGCGAAAGCGUGGGGAGCAAACAGG
rnacentral:rRNA from 1 species